rnacentral:misc_RNA from 1 species
AACACUGUUAACCUGCGGUACCUGCGGAGGGAUCAUUACAGAGUUGCAAAACUCCCUAAACCAUUGUGAACGUUACCUAAACCGUUGCUUCGGCGGGCGGCCCGGGUCCUUCCCGGCGCCUAUCGGCCCUCGCGGGCGCCCGCCGGAGGUAAACCAAACUAUUGCAUUGUAUGGCCUCUCUGAGUCUUCUGUACUGAAUAAGUCAAAACUUUUAACAACGGAUCUCAGAUCGGAAGAGCA